rnacentral:tRNA from 1 species
GCCUGGGUGGCUCAGCGGUUGAGCGCCUGCCUUUGGCCCAGGGCGUGAUCCUGGAAUCGAGGGAUCGAGUCCCACAUCAGGCU